CGUCUAAAGUUUGAGAUACAUACUACAAUCAUUACUCAAAGGCAUUGUACCGAGACAUCGAAGUGGGUUUGAGCCCAACGCAUUAGGCAGUCUUCCCGCGUCUUGGUGGAUUUUGAAGGACAUGUGGGAUCAGUAGCUCUGUUUAUUAGAAAAUUGGCUUUUGCAGCUUCAAGUAUCGUAGGCCGCUUCACUUGAUGCACUGCUUUUGAAGGUCCGUUGACAAAACUUUUUAAUUAAAUUUAAUUCUCAUAAAUAUAUCUCACAUCAUAAUUCGUAGUUUUUGCUUCCUUCCUUGCAAUCACCAUAAUCUCAUUUCUCAAUCUCUCAACAUUCAGAAAUUGUUCUAGUUUUAUUCAACUUGGAGAUGAUGAUGAUGAUGAUGAAGACCCCAACUUCUAUUUCUCACAAGGACCCAACAAGAAGGAGGUUCUUUAGUUGCAGUUUCCUUUCUACCAUUGCCAUGCUUUGUGCAGUUCUCUUCUUUCGGAGCCAGUUUGUUGUCACUGAUUAAGAGGCUCAAUGCAGGCCUGAAGGAACUGAGGCACUACCUAAAGGAAUGGUUUCCAAGACCUUUGACUUGCUAAUGCAACCCUUUAUGGGGUCCCUAAAACAAAAAGGUAAGCCGUUGUUUCUGUGUUGAUUGUAGUGAUAAUCUUAAAUUUUGAUUA